rnacentral:lncRNA from 1 species
AGCUUUUUCAUUAGUAUUUGCCUAACAGAAAGAUAGUCUUGGUUUCUUUUAAGCUCGGUAACAUUGCUGCAUCAUAUUAAUCUUUUGCAUGAGAUCAACCUGAGUCACAGCUAAGAAAUCAGAAGAGUACAUACUGCAACACAUGGACCUACAAAGUUUUUUUUGGAAGGAGAAUAUUUGUCCUACGUACAGUAAGAUUUCAACUAUUUAGUGCCUCAAACCAAUUUUCAUUAAUGUGAAUAAACAAUAAAUACUUUGAGGGAUAAUGUUGAAUCGUGUGAAAUAUUACUGUAUUUAGUGCUUUUUGUAGGGGAGUUUUCAAAUUGUAUUAAAAAAAACUUCAAAGAGGUAUUGAUGCAAAAUAUGAUUAACACUUUAAAUUCCAAUGCAAUACUAGUACUGAGACUAAAUUUUUAGGGACUAAAAUAGGCUAUAGUGAAAAGUACAAUGUGUAGGACUAGAUGAUCCUGGUAGAAUCAAAAUAGAUUUACUAUUGAAAAUAAAAGUGUGCUUGUUCUCUGAGUUUGACUUUUAGAAAUAUUCUUCCCAGCACUCCUCAAAUUCCUCUAUGUAUUUCUCUCAGUUAAUAUGCCUGAGGUUCACUUCUCAACUACAAUGCCUUAAAACCCAGGGAAAGACUGUGGCAUGAGACAGCAGCUUGAAUGAGGUGCUGGUAUUGUUUACAAGUGUUUCACUUUUGAAGAGUGUUUCUGAAAUUAGCCUGAGUGCUACCUGUGAAGAUAAGCCAACAAUGACAUUUUUCCAAAAACCAUUAGCUCUGUUUGUGAAAGUUUAAAAUAUUCCAUAAUCUCAGGGGAGAACAGUGCCAUUUGACAUGAUGCAGUCAUCAAUAUUGUCAAAGCACUGAAGACAGAGCUCCAGUAAUAUGCUAACAGAAACCUGAUGAAGACUAAAAAUGCUUGUCAGUGAACCAAAAAAAAUCUGUCAGCAGCCUUCUGAAUACACACAGGUGCUGUAUUCAUUAAGAAAGAAAGGUUAUUAGCUGUUUAUAAAGAGCAUUUCAAAGAAUAAGAAAUGCUGUGAUAUCUAAGUUAUGAGAUUGCAGGCAAACUGUUGAUAACAGGAACUACAAGAGGAGGAGGAGAUGGGAAGGAAUAGCGUAGCAGCAUGUAUUAUAUGUGUGGGAAAAGGAUGCCAAUGCAUUUUCAUGAGAGAUGAUAUCAGAAACUAUUUUUACUUCCUGCUGCCAAAGGACUACUUCUUUACACCUUGCAGAGGGAGACACCCUCCUAUAUUUUUCCCAUGUGUCAUUAACAUUGCCAAAAUUAUUUCUGUGUAUCAAUAAAAUGGACUGUAGAAUCAACAGGAGAGUGUCUACCAGGCUGUUCCGUGUAAUUUGGUUAUCAAAGUAAUUAAUUUCCUUCAAGGAAGGGGAAGUUAUCUAUUGCUGGUAUGGGUAUGUUCCACAUAUACCAGUAUGUUCCACAGUCCCUUUGUUAUCAGGCACUGUUUACGGAUAAAGACUUAGCUUAUUGUAUUAAAGGGAUAAAUAUUCCAUUUCAAAAUUCAAAAUCAAAUUAUGAAAACAGAAAACACAUUGCCUGAGAACUCAGCUGUAUCCUUACGUGUUUUUGCUGUCUCUCCUAGGACAACAUUCAGCCAUGAGAGAUGCAGGUGAUUGUAAUCAAAGUUUUUUUUCUCAACUUUUUAAAAAAGUUUGCUCAGUUAGCUUUUGGUUUUUCUGAACUGUAUUAAUUCCUAUUGCAUAUCCCAAACUAGUCUGUUCUCUAUAGCUUACACAGCUCUGCUAGUAAAUUGCAAAACUGUAAAAGAUGAAUCAAGAUGAAUCUUUGUUAGCACUGCUUUAUGCCUACUUACCCAAUGAAGACCAUAAAAUUACAGAAUAAUUUAGUUUGGAAAAGACCUUUAUGAUCAUUGAGUCCAGCGUAAACCUGGCACUGCCAAAUCCACCAUGUCCCAAAGCACCACAUCUACAAUCUUUUAAAUAAGUCCAGGCGUGGUGAUUCCAUCACUUCCCUGAGCAGCCUGUUGCAAUGCUUGACUAUACUCCUAAUGUAGAAUUUUUUCCCAAUAUCCAGUCUAAACCUUCCCUGGCACAACUUAAGGCCAUUUCCUUUUGUCCUGUCGCUUGUUACUUAGGAGAAGAGACCAACCCCACCUGGCUACAACCUCCUUUCAGGUAGCUAUAGAGAGCAGUGAACUCUUCCCCUUUUCUCCAGGCUAAACAACCCCUGCUCCUUCAAUUGCUCAUCAUAAGGUGCCCCAGACCUGUCACCAGCUUCAUAGCUCUUCUUAGGAUGCAUAUGGAGAACAUACUAGGCAGAAACAACAGCAAGUAGCUUUGAGAGUGGUUCUGCCAGGGAAGCUUCCCUGGGCUUUCUGCAGGCACCCCUGCCACCAGUGCCCACGUGAGAAGGGCUUGCUGCAGGAUGGCAUUUAUAGGAAAGCUUUCCCUUUGUGGCUCAUACCUUCUGGCAUGUGCAGUACUUUCUGGGAUGUGAAGUCAGGACACAGUGAGGGUCUGUACAAACAUGUCAGUGUUGGUGGACAAAUCUUGUACUUCCAGCAGUGUGCACACGUGGAAAAGAAGACCAAUGGCCAUCCUGGCCUACAUCAGGAAUGGUGUAGCCAGCAGGACAGGGAGGUCAUUCUUCCCCUGUACUUGGCAGUGGUGAGGAAGCACCUUGAGUCCUGUGUCCGGUUCUGGGCCCCUCACUUUAGUAAGGAUGCUGAGAUCAGGAGUGUGUCUGGAGAGGGGCAACAAGGCUGUUUGAAGGUUUGGAACACAAGUCCUAGGAGAAGUGGCGGAGGGAGCUAGAGUUGUUUAGCCUGGAAACAGGAGGCUCAAGGGAAAACCUUAUCACUCCCUACAAAAACCUGAAAGGAGGCUCUAGCCAGAUGGAGGUUGGUCUCUUCUCUCAGGCAACCGGCCAUAGGACAUGAGGACACAGUCUUAAACUGCCCCAAGAGAAGUUCAGGUUGGAAGAAGUUCUUCACAAGAAGGGUGACUGAACAUUGGAAUGGACUGCCCACAGAGGUGGUGUAGUCACCAUGCCUGGAAUUAUUUUUAAAAUAAGACUGUGUGGCGCUUAAUGCCAUAGUCCAGUUGACAAGAUGGUGUUCCUUCAUACGCUGGGCAUGCUGAUCUCAAAGGCCUUUUCCAACCUAGCUGGCUCCGUGAUUCCAGCAGCAGAUGGAGCGUGUGGAUGCCGCCAGUAGAGCAUGAAGCACUGGCACGCACGAGGAGCGGGGACAGCCGCACGCUGGCCCCGCACCGCUGCACCGAGCACUUGGGCGGGGGGCAGAAGCGACCACCCAGCACCGGGUGACCCGGAACGCGGGGGGACGGCGCGGCUCCCGACGGGACGGAUUAGGGGCUCCAGCGCCGGCCUUCCGGCCUGACUGAGAGACAAACUCGGACGCAAUCCUCCGCGGCGGGGGAGGGCGCGGAGGCUACCCAGGGAAAAGCGGGGCCGUGCACGGGGCACGGAUGCAGUGCAGGCUGG